AUGACGGUAGACUUCAAAUUCUAGAAUAAUAUUGGAACAAAACAAUUCUCUCGCAAAAAUACAGAAACUACAAUUUAUAAGCCUAAACAACAAACCAGCAGACCAAGAGUGUACCGUAAGAGCUCUAAACAGGCAUUCUAAAGUUGGUGACGUUAAAAAAAAAAAAAAAAAAAAAAAAA